rnacentral:sRNA from 1 species
UCAGAGAUACCGUCCUGUAGGCCUUCGUC